AGCAAAAGCGUGCAUGUGUAUGUAAAUAAAUUUCAUUUAACUUAUGAUUUUGUAAUAAAAUUCUAUAAUAUUAAUAGGAUUUUAUACAUAUCCGUUUUACCCCAUUUUAGAUUUUUGUUUAUCAAUAUUGUUACAUCAUGGUCCAACUAAUAAAUUUACAUCAUUAUUCUUGCAGAUCAUAAAUUAACCAACAUGUUCAGAGUAUUUGGACACCAGAGACUAGUAAAAAACAGAGAUAUAAAACCGGAGUCCUUUUGGGACUCCGCAUCUCUGAUUAUACUAAUAUUUGUGCAUGUCAAGAUAAUAGUAUUUCGAUUUCAAAAUGCAGCUAAAGAGAUUCAUCUUGACAUCGAAAAAUCACGAGGCUUGCGAGCUGCAGGUUGUACUCCUUGUAUAAACGUUUAAACAAUGUAAUGUAGACAAUGUAUUUA